AAACUACUUCUAACAGAGCUUAUUUGUCUUUUCUUUUGCAGGAGGCCGCGAUGGAUUUGGUCAACAAAUACCAGGCGUGUUCUCCUUUGGUGAUAUAAGAUAUCCUCUUAUAUCACAAAGGUCUGGAGGGGCUGGUGGUGUUCCUGGUCUCAGUGGUGGGGUUGGUUUAGGAGGUAUACCAGGUGCAUUUGGUGUUCCAAGUAUGAGUGGCAUACCUGGUGCAGGUGGUGUGCCAGGCAUAAAUGGCAUACCUGGAGCAGGAGGUGUGCCAGGAAUAGGAGCUGUUCCAGGUACAGCUGUAAUACCAGGUGUUGGAGUAAUUCCUGGAGCUGGCGGUGCAACUCCUGGUGUCCUUUAUCCAGGAGCUGGUGGUACCUAUCCUGGGGGAACUGGGGCAAAAGCUCAAAAGUAUGUUUCAGGGAUAGGAACUGGUGGACUUCCUGGUUCUGGAGUGGGUGGUCUUGGAACUGGUGGACUUCCUGGUUCUGGUUUGGGAGUGGGUGGUCUUGGAACUGCAGGACUUCCUGGUUCUGGUUUGGGAACUGGUGGCCUUGGCACUGGUGGAAUCCCUGGACUUGGUCCUGAAGGAUAUGCUGCAGCCAAAGCAAGAAAAUAUGCCCAUCUUGGACGUCCUGGUGGGACUUUAGGUACUGGAGGAUUGCCAGGUGGAGCAGCUGGUGUGUCUGGUGUUGGACUUGGUGGACUACCUGGUGGAGGUCUUGGGAGUGGUGGACAACCUGGAGGCGGACUUGGAGGGCUACCUGGAGGUGGACUUGGUGGAUUACCUGGUGGAGGAACUGGUGGACUACCUGGUGGUGGAGUUGGUGGUCUUCCUAGCAGUGGUGCUGGAGGACUCCUCGGCUCUGGAAUUGGAUAUGCAGAGGCAAAAGCUCGUAAAUAUGGUCUGCUUGGUGGAGGUGCUGCUUUAGGCCCAGGCACUGGAUUAGCUGCAGGUAUUCCAGGUGUAUUACCAGGCACUGGUGUCAGAAUAGUUGGGGCAGGGGGUAUACCCUGGCAUGGAUUAAUGCACAGGCUUGCAUAGGCUGCAGCCUAGGGGCCCCACGUGUGCAGGGGGCCUCGGAUUGGCCAGACAUUUUUUUUUUACUUAUGCGCGAACCAGGCACGGCACGGCGCAUCAUUCCAGUUUCCAGUUUGGAUGGGCCAGACAAAUUGUGAAUGUUAAAUUUAAAAUGUUAUCCAAUCACUGUUUAACCUAAUAAAAAUUACUGACUAAUAUACUGUUAAAUUAUC
ensembl:lncRNA